rnacentral:rRNA from 1 species
GUGACUGCGUACCUUUUGUAUAAUGGGUCAGCGACUUAUAUUCUGUAGCAAGGUUAACCGUAUAGGGGAGCCGGAGGGAAACCGAGUCUUAAUUGGGCGUUAAGUUGCAGGGUAUAGACCCGAAACCCGGUGAUCUAGCCAUGGGCAGGUUGAAGGUUGGGUAACACUAACUGGAGGACCGAACCGACUAAUGUUGAAAAAUUAGCGGAUGACCUGUGGCUGGGGGUGAAAGGCCAAUCAAACCGGGAGAUAGCUGGUUCUCCCCGAAAGCUAUUUAGGUAGCGCCUCGUGAAUUCAUCUCCGGGGGUAGAGCACUGUUUCGGCUAGGGGGCCAUCCCGGCUUACCAACCCGAUGCAAACUGCGAAUACCGGAGAAUGUUAUCACGGGAGACACACGGCGGGUGCUAACGUCCGUCGUGAAGAGGGAAACAACCCAGACCGCCAGCUAAGGUCCCAAAGUCAUGGUUAAGUGGGAAACGAUGUGGGAAGGCCCAGACAGCCAGGAUGUUGGCUUAGAAGCAGCCAUCAUUUAAAGAAAGCGUAAUAGCUCACUGGUCGAGUCGGCCUGCGCGGAAGAUGUAACGGGGCUAAACCAUGCACCGAAGCUGCGGCAGCGACGCUGAUGCGUUGUUGGGUAGGGGAGCGUUCUGUAAGCCUGCGAAGGUGGCCUGUGAGGGUUGCUGGAGGUAUCAGAAGUGCGAAUGCUGACAUAAGUAACGAUAAAGCGGGUGAAAAGCCCGCUCGCCGGAAGACCAAGGGUUCCUGUCCAACGUUAAUCGGGGCAGGGUGAGUCGACCCCUAAGGCGAGGCCGAAAGGCGUAGUCGAUGGGAAACGGGUUAAUAUUCCCGUACUUGGUGUUACUGCGAAGGGGGGACGGAGAAGGCUAUGUUGGCCGGGCGACGGUUGUCCCGGUUUAAGCGUGUAGGUGUGUGUUCCAGGUAAAUCCGGUUCACUUUAACACUGAGGCGUGAUGACGAGGCACUACGGUGCUGAAGCAACAAAUGCCCUGCUUCCAGGAAAAGCCUCUAAGCAUCAGGUAACAUCAAAUCGUACCCCAAACCGACACAGGUGGUCAGGUAGAGAAUACCAAGGCGCUUGAGAGAACUCGGGUGAAGGAACUAGGCAAAAUGGUGCCGUAACUUCGGGAGAAGGCACGCUGACACGUAGGUGAAGUGAUUUACUCACGGAGCUGAAGUCAGUCGAAGAUACCAGCUGGCUGCAACUGUUUAUUAAAAACACAGCACUGUGCAAACACGAAAGUGGACGUAUACGGUGUGACGCCUGCCCGGUGCCGGAAGGUUAAUUGAUGGGGUCAGCGCAAGCGAAGCUCCUGAUCGAAGCCCCGGUAAACGGCGGCCGUAACUAUAACGGUCCUAAGGUAGCGAAAUUCCUUGUCGGGUAAGUUCCGACCUGCACGAAUGGCGUAAUGAUGGCCAGGCUGUCUCCACCCGAGACUCAGUGAAAUUGAACUCGCUGUGAAGAUGCAGUGUACCCGCGGCAAGACGGAAAGACCCCGUGAACCUUUACUAUAGCUUGACACUGAACAUUGAGCCUUGAUGUGUAGGAUAGGUGGGAGGCUUUGAAGUGUGGACGCCAGUCUGCAUGGAGCCGACCUUGAAAUACCACCCUUUAAUGUUUGAUGUUCUAACGUGGACCCGUAAUCCGGGUUGCGGACAGUGUCUGGUGGGUAGUUUGACUGGGGCGGUCUCCUCCUAAAGAGUAACGGAGGAGCACGAAGGUUGGCUAAUCCUGGUCGGACAUCAGGAGGUUAGUGCAAUGGCAUAAGCCAGCUUGACUGCGAGCGUGACGGCGCGAGCAGGUGCGAAAGCAGGUCAUAGUGAUCCGGUGGUUCUGAAUGGAAGGGCCAUCGCUCAACGGAUAAAAGGUACUCCGGGGAUAACAGGCUGAUACCGCCCAAGAGUUCAUAUCGACGGCGGUGUUUGGCACCUCGAUGUCGGCUCAUCACAUCCUGGGGCUGAAGUAGGUCCCAAGGGUAUGGCUGUUCGCCAUUUAAAGUGGUACGCGAGCUGGGUUUAGAACGUCGUGAGACAGUUCGGUCCCUAUCUGCCGUGGGCGCUGGAGAACUGAGGGGGGCUGCUCCUAGUACGAGAGGACCGGAGUGGACGCAUCACUGGUGUUCGGGUUGUCAUGCCAAUGGCACUGCCCGGUAGCUAAAUGCGGAAGAGAUAAGUGCUGAAAGCAUCUAAGCACGAAACUUGCCCCGAGAUGAGUUCUCCCUGAGACUUAGAGUCUCCUGAAGGAACGUUGAAGACGACGACGUUGAUAGGCCGGGUGUGUAAGCGCAGCGAUGCGUUGAGCUAACCGGUACUAAUGAACCGUGAGGCUUAACCUUA